rnacentral:rRNA from 1 species
GUGGAUUAGAUACCCGAGUAGUCCACGCCCUAAACGAUGCGAACUGGACGUUGGGAGCAACUUGGCUCUCAGUGUCGAAGCUAACGCGUUAAGUUCGCCGCCUGGGGAGUACGGUCGCAAGACUGAAACUCAAAGGAAUUGACGGGGGCCCGCACAAGCGGUGGAGUAUGUGGUUUAAUUCGAUGCAACGCGAAGAACCUUACCUGGCCUUGACAUGUCCGGAAUCCUGCGGAGACGCGGGAGUGCCUUCGGGAAUCGGAACACAGGUGCUGCACGGCUGUCGCCAGCU